CUGCGGAAGGAUCAUUACCGAGUGCGGGCCCCUCGGGGCCCAACCUCCCACCCGUGUUGCCCGAACCUAUGUUGCCUCGGCGGGCCCCGCGCCCGCCGACGGCCCCCCUGAACGCUGUCUGAAGUUGCAGUCUGAGACCUAUAACGAAAUUAGUUAAAACUUUCAACAACGGAUCUCUUGGUUCCGGCAUCGAUGAAGAACGCAGCGAAAUGCGAUAACUAAUGUGAAUUGCAGAAUUCAGUGAAUCAUCGAGUCUUUGAACGCACAUUGCGCCCUCUGGUAUUCCGGAGGGCAUGCCUGUCCGAGCGUCAUUGCUGCCCUCAAGCCCGGCUUGUGUGUUGGGCCCCGUCCCCCCCGCCGGGGGGACGGGCCCGAAAGGCAGCGGCGGCACCGCGUCCGGUCCUCGAGCGUAUGGGGCUUCGUCACCCGCUCUAGUAGGCCCGGCCGGCGCCAGCCGACCCCCAACCUUUAAUUAUCUCAGGUUGACCUCGGAUCAGGUAGGGAUACCCGCUGAACUUAAGCAUAUCAAUAAGCGGAGGAAAAGAAACCAACCGGGAUUGCCCUAGUAACGGCGAGUGAAGCGGCAAGAGCUCAAAUUUGAAAGCUGGCCCCCUCGGGGUCCGCAUUGUAAUUUGCAGAGGAUGCUUCGGGAACGGCCCCCAUCUAAGUGCCCUGGAACGGGCCGUCAUAGAGGGUGAGAAUCCCGUCUGGGAUGGGGUGGCCGCG
rnacentral:rRNA from 1 species